CCUACGGGUGGCAGCAGUCGAGAAUCAUUCACAAUGGGGGAAACCCUGAUGGUGCGACGCCGCGUGGGGGAAUGAAGGUCUUCGGAUUGUAAACCCCUGUCAUGUGGGAGCAAAUUAAAAAGAUCGUACCACACGAGGAAGAGACGGCUAACUCUGUGCCAGCAGCCGCGGUAAUACAGAGGUCUCAAGCGUUGUUCGGGAUCACUGGGCGUAAAGCGUGCGUAGGCUGUUUCGUAAGUCGUGUGUGAAAGGCGCGGGCUCAACCCGCGGACGGCACAUGAUACUGCGAGACUAGAGUAAUGGAGGGGGAACCGGAAUUCUCGGUGUAGCAGUGAAAUGCGUAGAUAUCGAGAGGAACACUCGUGGCGAAGGCGGGUUCCUGGACAUUAACUGACGCUGAGGCACGAAGGCCAGGGGAGCGAAAGGGAUUAGAUACCCGGGUAGUC
rnacentral:rRNA from 1 species